GCACGGAUGGCGAAGUGGCUAACGCACUCGAUUUUCAAGCGAGUAUUCGGGGGUUCGAAUCCCUCUCCGUGCU
rnacentral:tRNA from 1 species